rnacentral:rRNA from 1 species
UACGUAGGCAGCAAGCGUUGUUCGGAGUUACUGGGCGUAAAGCGCGCGUAGGCGGACCUGCAAGUCGGGAGUGAAAGCCCGAGGCUCAACCUCGGAACUGCCUUCGAUACUGCGGGUCUCGAGUCCGGGAGAGGUGAGUGGAAUUCCUGGUGUAGCGGUGAAAUGCGCAGAUAUCAGGAAGAACACCCGUGGCGAAGGCGGUUCGUCUGGGACGGUACUGACGCUGGAGACGCGAAAGCGUGGGGAGCGAACAGG